rnacentral:rRNA from 1 species
GACGAACGCUGGCGGCGUGCUUAACACAUGCAAGUCGAACGGAAAGGCCCUGCUUGCAGGGUACUCGAGUGGCGAACGGGUGAGUAACACGUGGGUGAUCUGCCCUGCACUUCGGGAUAAGCCUGGGAAACUGUGUCUAAUACCGGAUAGGAGCCAUUUUUAGUGUGAUGGUUGGAAAGUUUUUUCGGUGUAGGAUGAGGUGGCGCCCUAUCAGCUUGUUGGUGGGGUAAUGGCCUACCAAGGCGGCGACGGGUAGCCGGCCUGAGAGGGUGGAAGGGCAAAAUGGGACUGAGAAAAGGCACAGACAGCGACGGGAGGAAGAAGUGGGGAAGAUUGAACAAGGGGAGCAAGCCUGAUGCAGCGAAGCCGCGGGGGGGAGGACGGCCUUCGGGUUGAAAAAUCCUUUCGCUAGGGACGAAGCUUUUUGUGACGGUACCUAGAUAAGAAGCACCGGCUAACUACGUG